UACGGGGGGGGCAAGCGUUGUUCGGAAUUACUGGGCGUAAAGGGCCAGUAGGCGGCCAACUAAGUCCGACGUGAAAUCCCAAGGCUUAACCUUGGAACUGCGUCGGAUACUGGUGUGGCUCGAGUGCAGGAGAGGAACGCGGAAUUCCAGGUGUAGCGGUGAAAUGCGUAGAUAUCUGGAGGAACACCGGUGGCGAAGGCGGCGUUCUGGACUGCAACUGACACUGAGGAACGAAAGCCAGGGGAGCAAACGGG
rnacentral:rRNA from 1 species